rnacentral:rRNA from 1 species
AUACAGAGGGUGCGAGCGUUAAUCGGAAUUACUGGGCGUAAAGCGCGCGUAGGCGGCUACUUAAGUCAGAUGUGAAAUCCCCGGGCUCAACCUGGGAACUGCAUCUGAUACUGGGUAGCUAGAGUUUAGGAGAGGGAAGUAGAAUUUCAGGUGUAGCGGUGAAAUGCAUAGAGAUCUGAAGGAAUACCAGUGGCGAAGGCGGCUUCCUGGCCUAAAACUGACGCUGAGGUGCGAAGGCGUGGGUAGCAAACGGGAUUAGAAACCCCGGUAGUCC